CAGUUUCUCAGAGGUGGUGGUUCAAAUAUUUAAUUUGGCUGCUAACAAGGAUCUAGACAACAAUUAUUUCAAUGCUUUAACUAGGUUUUCAGGUUCAGUUCAAGAAGGAGAUUAUGAAUCGCAGAUAGCGGGGCUGAUGCCCAGAAAAGAGAGAUGCAUGCUGCCAUGUGAAAUGGACAAAGCUCCGGCUUCCUGCCGACUGUGGAAAGAUUCGUCAGAGCACUAUAGCAGGUACCAGUUGACUCUCCAGAAUGGAUCUGGGGCUAUUUGCUGUUGACUUGGGCUGUCCGCCUGAAAUGACUUCACCCAAAGCUAAGGAGGAUCCCAGGCUUACUGGUGGCUGCCUGCACUCUGGAGUACACGAGAACCAGCCUCUGCAAAGCAUGGUGUAUAUAGGAUUUGGAGAAGGGUGGAAAAACAAGGGCUUAAUUCUACCACCUGUACUCCUGUGGACUAAUGGCUUAUGUCAUAACUUGUUCCAUCAGUCCAUCG